UAGAGUUUGGAUCAUGGCUCAGAUUGAACGCUGGCGGCAGGCCUAACACAUGCAAGUCGAGCGGAAACGAUGGAAGCUUGCUUCCAGGCGUCGAGCGGCGGACGGGUGAGUAAUGCAUGGGAAUCUGCCCGAUAGUGGGGGAUAACCUGGGGAAACCCAGGCUAAUACCGCAUACGUCCUACGGGAGAAAGCAGGGGAUCUUCGGACCUUGCGCUAUCGGAUGAGCCCAUGUCGGAUUAGCUUGUUGGUGAGGUAAUGGCUCACCAAGGCGACGAUCCGUAGCUGGUCUGAGAGGAUGAUCAGCCACAUCGGGACUGAGACACGGCCCGAACUCCUACGGGAGGCAGCAGUGGGGAAUAUUGGACAAUGGGCGAAAGCCUGAUCCAGCCAUGCCGCGUGUGUGAAGAAGGCCCUCGGGUUGUAAAGCACUUUCAGUGGGGAAGAAAGCCUUGGGAUUAAUACUCCCGAGGAAGGACAUCACCCACCAGAGAGACCG
rnacentral:rRNA from 1 species